CCCACACUGGAGUACAGUGGUGCAAACAUGGCUCACUGUAGCGUCGACCUCCUGGGCUCAAGCAAUCCUCCUAUCUCAGUCUCCUGAGUAGCUAGGACUGCAGGUGCAUGCCACUAUGCCUUGCUAAUGUUUGUCUUUGUUGUUGUUGUUUUGCCAUGUUACCCAGGCUAGUCUUGAACUCCUAGGCUCAAGGAAUCCACCCACCUUGGCCUCCCAAAGUGUUGGCAUCACAGGCAUGAGCCACUGUGCCUACCCACAAAUAUCAUCUUUCUUUAAGUGUAAACAUGGUCCAGUACAAGCUAGUCCACUACAGGGAGAAGUGCCCAUAGCCCAGUCUUUGUUGUUGAUGCUAGCAGGGUUAUUUUGGGGAGGUUAGCAGUGGAGACUGAACUAAUCCUAAUUCUGUGUAUACAGUCUCAGGCCAAAAGAACAAUACUGAGGACAGACUCUGUGACCUUCGGCAUGUACAGGGCACAUGACCACACUUGGCAGGGACAUGGAUGAAUCUGGAGAACGUCAUCCUCAGCAAACUGACACAAGAACAGAAAAUGAAACACCGCAUAUUCUCACUCAUAGGUGGGUGAUGAAAAAUGAGAACACAUGGACACAGAAAGGGGAGUACUAAACACUGGGGUCUAUUGGGGGGAAAAGGGGAGGGCCAGUGGGAGGGGGAAGCUGGGGAGGGAUAGUCUGGGGAGAAAUGCCAAAUGUGGGUGAAGGGGAGAAGGAAAGAAAAGCACACUGCCAUGUGUGUUCCUACACAACUGUCUCGCAUGCUCUGCUCAUGUACCCCAAAACCUAAAAUCCAAUAAAAAAUUAAAAAAAAAAUGGCUGGAAAUUCUU
rnacentral:lncRNA from 13 species